CAGGCACUAAGCUGGGCACUGGGAAUGUAAUAAAAUAGUCAAGGUCCCACCUUCUAAGACUGUCCGACAGGGAAACGAACAAGAGUCAAAUAAGGCAGAAGAUGUGAUGUAAUACACCUACGAAAUCUCAGAGGGUUGUAGGGUCGUGGGAGCUCAAGUGAGACACUUAACCUGGCCUGAGACAUUCCAGAAGGCCUCCUGAAGAACUGACAUCUGAACUGAGAACUGAAGGAAGAUGAGUACUAGUGAGGCUACCGGACGUGAAUGUGGAGAUUGUGCAGGGCAAUGCAAGAGGAGGCUGUAGAAGUCAACCUGGCUAGAUCACAGCGGGGUGUAUGUGGGGCAGGAGCUUCUUUGUUUGAAUUUGCUCCUGAGAGGAUGAGGCCUCCUAGAGCACUGGCUCCUGGACAGCAACCUCCUUUGGUGCCUUGUGACCAGGGCCCUGAUGGUUCAUUAGAUGGAGCCUUCGAGUCUUAGGGAGUUGCCGCAGGGUCCCCACAGCGGCUCCCGACGGUUGUGAACCAGCAUCCAUCCUCCACGGAUUCCGGCAACCCGCCUGGCCCUGGACGUGUCUCAACUGGCCCGCGUGAGGGGCCGCCCCGGAAAUGACGCGCUGCCCCGCUGGCCAAGCGGAAGUGGAGAUGGCGGAGCUGUACGUGAAGCCGGCCCCAGUAUAAGCUAACAGUGGAGUUCCGGGCUCGCUUCACACAUCCCUCGCCUCCGCAGGCAACAAGGAACGCGGCUGGAACGACCCGCCGCAGUUCUCAUACGGGCUGCAGACCCAGGCCGGCGGACCCAGGCGCUCGCUGCUUACCAAGAGGGUCGCCGCACCCCAGGAUGGAUCCCCCAGAGUCCCCGCAUCAGAGACUUCUCCUGGGCCUCCCCCAAUGGGGCCUCCACCUCCUUCAAGUAAGGCUCCCAGGUCCCCACCUGUGGGGAGUGGUCCUGCCUCUGGCGUGGAGCCCACAAGUUUCCCAGUCGAGUCUGAGGCUGUGAUGGAGGAUGUGCUGAGACCUUUGGAACAGGCAUUGGAAGACUGCCGUGGCCACACAAGGAAGCAGGUAUGUGAUGACAUCAGCCGACGCCUGGCACUGCUGCAGGAACAGUGGGCUGGAGGAAAGUUGUCAAUACCUGUAAAGAAGAGAAUGGCUCUACUGGUGCAAGAGCUUUCAAGCCACCGGUGGGACGCAGCAGAUGACAUCCACCGCUCCCUCAUGGUUGACCAUGUGACUGAGGUCAGUCAGUGGAUGGUAGGAGUUAAAAGAUUAAUUGCAGAAAAGAGGAGUCUGUUUUCAGAGGAGGCAGCCAAUGAAGAGAAAUCUGCAGCCACAGCUGAGAAGAACCAUACCAUACCAGGCUUCCAGCAGGCUUCAUAAUCCUCGGUUCCCCAGACUCACCGGACACCAUCUCCUAUGCCUUGGAGACCUUCUGUCACUUGGCUCCCUUCUUACCACCACCAAGACUGUCCCACUGGGCCUGACCCACCUAUGAGGGAAGAAGUCCCACCUGGGCCAGAGGGAGUUCAUGUGUUACUCAUAACAUGCAUUUCAAUAAAAACAUCUCUGCGGUGGGCCUUGGGUAGGAGAGAUGAACCCUUCCGGUGCCAAGCUAGUCCCCUCUGGUGUCCUCGACUGCCCUGCUCCCUGUGUAUCUGCAAACCUCUGUUCUCCCUUCUCCAUUCAUCAGGAAGGGAUCUGCUGGGUAAAGUCAGACUACUGCCUACCACUUUUUCCCAAAGUAGACUGAAAGCACAUCCUGUGCUGGGCGGAGCAGCUGUGUUUGGAUGGUUUCAUUUCAGCAUGAGAACAGACUCAAAUAGAACGGGGAGACUUUUCCCUCAACAAAAGGAAAGACAGUCCUAUUUGCACUGUAUCACCCUUGAGAUACUACUGUUACAGAGAUUAGAACCACAUUGAGUGGGGUUUUCUGUGUAAAUCGAAGGAGAAAAAGACCAGAUUACUGAGAUUGGGGAUUGUAACUCUGACUUGCCAAACAAACUGCUGCCUCAU